AAUAAAUAAGAUCAUUAAGGGUCUUGUCAUAGUCUAUUUCAUAGGAGUCCCAAAGGAAUUCACUAUGUGACUUAUAAAGUGAUUGAACAUCCACUUCCUCUAGACUUUGACACCCAACUCUCCCGGCUUGUCAAUACGUGACUUCAUCUCCAAGAUGUGAUCACACAUAGACCUUGCUUGCCAAUAGGGAUUGAGUGACCUUAAACUUUUCAAGAACUUGUGGGUUAGGGAGAAUAAUUGGAGGAGGUGAAAGAAGUAAAGUUCCAAGAGAUUUGGGAAGAUCAUAGAUGUCUGAACUUAGACAUCUUUUGGGAGAUAUUCAAGAUAGUUGAUCUAAAGUCCUUAAUAUGACACCCAAUAUGAAAUAUUAAGGCUAGGACCCAACAAACUAUUUUAUAACUUAGAAGAGGUAUGCCGUAAUCCAAGCUAUAAAAUAUUUGAAGGUAGGUGAAUGACGAUUCACCAAUUUCCACCAAGAUAAACGAAAUGUAUUAUUAGGUUUUAAUUGGUUUUGAAACUCCUAGAUCUUUGAGAUUCAUUGAACUUUUCAAAGGCAUGUUUCAAUCUCGAGUGUGCCCUUCAGGUUUUGUGACUGGGAUGCCGAGGAUCACAAAACAAGGUGUGAAGUAACCAUGCAAAUCACUUGGUACCCUUAAUAAAUUACCCCUCAAUCGAUGUGCCGGUUAACCACACACGCUCCAUCGAUACUAUGAUAAAUAUUAAGUCACCCUUUACCUACCUUGUUAAGUCCAAGUUAGUGUGCCGGUUAACCACACACGCUCCACUAACGACUUAGACAAAGUGUAAAGUGUAAUUUCAUGGAUUAGCACCUUAUUCACAUUUUUCCUAAGUAACUAAGAUUGGGUAUUAUUAAGAGUUUAGUUACUUAGUAUUAUCAUUAAUACUUUUAAUGAAGGGAGAAUUCUAGUCCUGUCAAACCCGUUCGGCUAACGACCCUCCACCAGUCAAGCAAGCGGUGGGUGAGAGUGGACACCCAUUAAGUUGCCAUUUUAUAGGCAACAACCUUAUACCCACCUUAUAGACCGGCUUCGUGAAUGAGGCGUACUAGCGGUAAGACUGACUUUACUCAUAUAUAUAUAUAUAUUAUUAACUUAUAAUAUUAUAAAGUAUAAGGGUUGAAUUUUAACUUUUAAAAUUCUAAGGGCUAACUUGGAAUUAAAGUAUUCAUAAGUGAAAACUUUUCAAAUUCCAAAACUUGAGGGCAAGUUUUGAAACUAUUCAAAACUAAUUAAUUCCAUAACUUAUGUGUUUAAAGUAGUUUUAAUUAAAAGACUCUUCAAGUUCCAUAACUUGAGGACAAGUUAUGGAAGACUUUAAACUAAUAAAAGAAUGUAACUUUUCUUUAUUUUGUAACUUAUGGAAUUAAUUAAGGUUACACAUUUUAUUACUUAAUGAAGUGACUCUUGAACCUCCAUAACUUUAGGACAAGACUCUUCAUUUUUUGUAAUCAUUGCCAACUUUUAUGAGUUUUAUGAAACUUAAAUGUGACAUUUCAUAUAACUUGAGGACAAGUUACAAAAACACAUUUUAGAAUCAACUCUUAGAUUAAAAUGGAUUGAAAACACAUAAUCAAUUUCCUUUUCUAUUAAUCUAAGCAACUCAUAAGAACAAGAUAAUUCAAAUCAAAAUUUUUCAUGUAAUUAGUCUAAACCUUAAACUAAUACAAAACAUGAAUCUAUUGACAAUUAUCUUUGAAAUUGGAUUAGCAUGAACAUUACCACAUCAAAAACAAGUUUAUAAGUCCAAAAACAUCUUAGGGUAAUGUUCCUAGUCCAAUUCCAGCCAAAACAAUUGAAUAUAUGUUGCCUGGGGGUCCAACUCAUCGAGGGCACGAACGAACUCAGCGAGUUGGAUGCUUUUUGCCUUGGACUCGGCGAGUCCAUAAGUGGACUCGGCGAGUCUGCAGAGCAGACUGCAUCAAAAUUUGAUUUUUAAGCCAAUUUUGCAAGUAUAACAAGAAAACAAGCCUAGGCUCUGAUACCACUGUUGGGUUAUGAGCAUUUUAACACUCCUAAGUGUACAUGCAACCCUAAUACCUUGGAUCUAUGUUUUCUCUAUUAUACAUGCAAAUAUGAACUUUCCAAGGUAUUACCCUAUCUAGCAUACAAUACUUGAUACUUGGGUAAUCAAAUGGAUAGAAUACAUACCUUUGUUUGAUGUANGUUUGUCUUCAUGAAGCCUGAGUGUCUAGUGCCCCAAGUGUGACACCUCAAAUGGCUCAAACAACACCAAAUGCACAUGGAAUGACUUGAGAGAAAAUGAAACACUUCUUGAAAUCAUCUAGCCCUCAUAUUCACACACUAGUGCAAGAUUUCUUGAGCCAUGGGAUUUUUUUAUAUGGUGGCUAUUAGGGUUACACCAUGUAACUCAUAACUUUACCCAUUCCUUAUGCUCCAUGGAUUUUAACCUCCAUGGAGUAUCCAUGGGUCACCCCAUGGACUUAGUCCAACAUAAGGAAUCUUGGAUCACAAACCCACAUAUAUAAGAACAAAUGACUUACACAAUCAACCCAUAUAUUUAAUUAGUCUCCUUUUGAUCACUUAAUGAUCAAUACUAAUUAAAUAACCUUAUUAAUAUAUUAGAACUUAUAAUAUAUUAACAAACCUUAAGUGUUAUUUCUCUCAUUAUAGUCUAUGCAAAUGCAUGACGCCAUGCAACCCAAAUGGACCAUGCCAGGUCGGGUCAAGUCUUACCAAUUAUAGUUAUGGACUUAGACAUUAAUCCAAUAGUCUCCCACUUGGUUAAGUCUAAAAUUAUUAUUGUGUAUGACUUCAGGAACCGAUCAGCAAUCGUAGCUCUCAAAAGCUUCUGUCGCACUCUGACCUUGUCGAUGAACUCUAACUUUCGUCAAUGAUUUUUCCAUAUGUAAGGGUUCAUAUAUUCCUCUAUUCUAGAUAUCAUAUGGACUGAGACAUGGAUUAUAAUCAUUCUCUCUGUCCAUUUGUUGUUUCCCGAUUUCCGAUUUAUAAUGAUUGACUAAUUGAACAAAUCAAAUCAGACCAGGCUUGGCCGAGCACUUACAUUUGUCAUCACCAAAUCAUCGAGGGGCCCACAGAUAUCGCAUUUAUCCUGAUGGUAAAAGGAAUGGAUUAACUUUGACUCAUAUGUCUUGUUUUACUACUUGUUGAAUCAUACACAAAGGCACGUUUUAUAACAUCGAGUUACUAAUGCGUUUUCAUGCAAUCAAUGUAUAACCAAGUCAUAGUAACAACUCAUAUCUCUAGGUUUGAAGAAUAUAAGAUAUUAUCGUCUCAUGAUCACUCGUGAUAAAAUCCAUGAAGUGAUUCCAAUGAGCGCGGGUUGAAUCCAAUACUCAAAACUUAUGAGCACUCAUGAGUGUUGUAGCCCUUUGUCCAACACCUUAGACCUCUACAAGCCAACCCAUGANACCCAUGACAAUCUUGAUUCAUAUCUAUUUCCAACAUAUGAUCGACUGUAGAUGGUUUGAAUAACUUAGUCAUUCAAAACAAUGACCUAGUUAUUCUGGAAGUCAAAACAUGCAAAAUGAAACACAAGAAUAAUUGAAUCCAAUAUGGUCUCAGAACUUAGGAAUAUAAAUAAAACACCUUUUAUUUAUCACCAUAUUAUUACACAUUAUUCAUUGCAUACUGUUUCAUCUAUCAACUUCAUUCUUAAAUUUAAAAACACUAGUUGUCCCAUGCUCCAAGGAAGUAGACUAUGUUUUUCUAAUGACUAGUCAUGCCAUACACCAAGUAUGCAUCCUAUGUUUGUCUAUGAUCUUUACUUUGUGAAAUAGAUCAAAUGAACAUAACUCUAAUGAUCCUCUUUUCACAGUCCCAACUCCUUACUGCAGGUGCAAGAAUUCUAAAUUCAUGCCAUUUACUGAAAUCUGUUAGAUUCUAAACUUAUAUGCAUUGAUCCUCUUGUAAUGAUUAUGCACAAAGUCACAAGGACUUGACAACAAACAUUACAGAGCAUUCCAAAGGAGAUCAACCCCUUGGAAACAUCCUUCUUGCAUUAAGUUUCCUAGUCUUUCGUAGAUUGAAUAAUUACUAUCUUUGAAACAUAUCCAUAUUCCAUUUUGACUAUCACUUCUGAAAAAGAGUUUCCUCCUUACAGAUUAUAUCAAUAUGGUCCUUCUAGAAUUAACACUAUACUUCAAACUGUCCUUGAGCAACCAAUCUUUGGUGAACCUUAGAUUGUCCUCAACAAUUGCUUAAUCCUUUUAGUCAUGUCCAAUUCUAGACCUUUUCCCUUCUUCAUGCCCUAGGCAUUUGGAAAAUUUUAGAAAGGAUGAAUAUUAUAGCACAUGCAAUCGAUCCUAUAUACGAAGCAUAUGGGACACGAUUCAUGACGUCUCGCAUAAAGACAUAAUACUAGAGAAGUCCUUUUGCUAGAAUAUUUCUAUUUGCCAAGUUCUCAUAAUUUUAGAUUAUGAAAAGGGAUGUCGUAAUCAUAAUCAAAUUUUAGAAUGCAAACAAUAGACCCAUAUCUAGAAUUUCUUUAUGUUGAGCCAUUCCAACAUGAAAUUCAUAUAUAUAUAUUCUUGACUAAAUACGAUUAAGACCUCAAUCUAAGCUUUUAGAUUUGAGAUGAAGUAUAAUUUCCUCUCCCUUAAGUAUAACAAAACAACUUUUUCACAAUUGAGACCUUUUGUUUUCUAUAAUUAACAUUGCUAACUUGCAACCUUUAUCAUAAUUAUCAUGCUCCCACUAACAUGAUGAUUAUUAGCAUAACACUUAUGCUCCCACUAGCUUUGACAUGUACUCAAAAAUCAGCUGAACUUCUAGAAAAACAAUACUUUAUUGACUUUCUUACCAAGGUUGAGAUUUCUGAAACUAGAUUGCUUUGAUAAAACUUUAUCAAUAUCAUACACCUUAUCUUAGAUAGCUCACAGGUGUGUCUAAAAAAUUUAAAGAACUAUGAAAACGGAUGUCGUAAUCAUAGUCUUGAUUGUUUAGACCUUUGCCACUUCUCACAAGUCCAUGUUAGUGUGUCGGUUAACCACACACGCUCCACUAACGACUUUGAGAAUGCAAAUAUCACAAUUGCUAUCUAGCUAAAAUCUACUUAGUGAAAGUGUUUCCUCACCAUCAUUUUCAUGAAUCGGAGAGAAACCUUAUGACACUUAGAUUUAAUGGUGUAUGUGUUCUUAUCCAUGUGAAUUGUCAAAACCAUAGUCACAAGACAAGGAUAAUGACAAAUCCAAACUCAUAUGGAUUGAACUCAAUCUUAACUUCUUGCCACCUGGCAGCUCAAGGGCCUGCCAUUGCUUCCAAGUUGUUAUGCAACAAAUUGAGAACUCUAAGAACUCAUAUGCAACGCCAACUUUAACUGGAAUAGGCACAGAAUAUGUCAACACGAUAGGUUAUAAACCUCAAGUCGUGUGCUAGUGAAGAACUUCAGGUUUUAUUCUUGAUUAGUUCUUGAGACUUUCAAGACCUUUAAGACUCCCAUUGUCCUCUUGACAUAUAAGACUCUCUUGUCAAAUAUUCAAGAGAUAGUGUGGAUUCUAAUCAAGACAAACACUUCAGACAAUUGGCCUUAGUUGGUCUUUGUUUUAUCCAAAACAUCACAACUUACCAAUUUCAAAUGUACAAGAGUAGAAAACUUUUACUCUUACAUUUGACAAGUGUUUUAAACCUUCUCAAAGACAUGUCACUCAAGUUACAAUCUUGGAGUUUGACUCUAAGACUUGUAUUUGGAACGAAGUAUGAAUCAUCUUCUUGAUUUAACCACUUCCACAAUUCAUGAUUCCUCUUCUUAACUACCAGAAUGCACUUAGAGGAUGAAUUGUGAUAAGGUCUCUUAAUCAUUAAGAUGAUUAUAUAACCUGAUACUACAGUACUCUCCCAUCUUUUCAGAUUUGAGAAACUUUUAUCUUUCUGCCUAAGUUGAUUCUUCUUAUUCACUCUGCCAUACAUUGGAACCUUUUCAAAUGUCUCAGAAUUACACUUAAGCUUGAAAGUAUAACCAUAUUUACUGAGCUUUAGUAAAUUAUGACGAAUAGUCUUAUCUAUCGUUUGUGGUGGACUUAAUCAGUUCACAAGAAUGUGUACUCGAUCCCUUAGUCCUUUACUUGACUCACACAUCCAUGUGAACUAGUAGUUAGUCUUAAUUUUUCUAAUGCUUGAAAGUUUACAUCCAUCAUGCUAUACAACUUGCAUGAUUCCAAGUCUCUAUCCAACUGAAACUUAGGUGACGAGAAUCUUUCCUUAUUUGGUAAAUUUAGACAUUACCACAAAUGAGAGAAUCAAAUUCACUUUCCAAUAUUGCUAUCAAUGGAAUCAUACAAACAACAAUUUUUCACAAAUGCCAUUGUAAGGAUACUUAAAAUAAAUAAAAUCAAAUAUUUUCCUUUUAUUUUAAAAACUUUGCAAAAAAACUAUCCUUACAAUGAAAAAGCACAUGAAAACUUUGUUGUUAAUAAUUCCUAAGCAAGAUAUCAUAACUCCUAAGAAGCAGCUCAAGAAUCUGAUCUUCAAACUAUGCGACAGAAAUCCAUCUACGCGAUCAGAUUCAGCAUAUUCUUUCUUUAAGUUCCUUCACUUUUCUUUGAUUCUUAAAACAUCACCAUGUGACCCAGUCACAUCGUGUAUCAAGAAUCUCAGAAUAGAUACUUAUCAGAGUUAGAUAGUGGACUAUACCUGAAGUAGAGUCAAACUUAUUAACUUUAACACCCUUAGGUAAAUUGGCAACUUCGCAACCAAUGCCCCUUUUUUUUGGCAAUUUAACAUAUGGAAACUUUGGUAAUGGAACAUGGGACUAUCACAAACAUAUCCUUUCUCUUUACCACUUGGUUAACCGAGUUGACUAUGGCCGAUCCCUUUCCAUUGGGAAGAGAGAGCUUUACCGAAUAUCCAAUGUCAUUAUUGUCAAUGUCCACAAGUUUUAGGAAGUCGAUCUUAGAUAAUAGAUAAGAUCAUUAAGGGUCUUGUCAUAGUGUGUUUCAUAGGAGUCCCAAAGGAACUCACUAUGUGACUUAGAAAGUGAUUGAACCACCAACUUUCUCAAGACUUUGACACCCAACUCUCCCCGGCUAGUCAAUAUGUGACUACAUCUCCUAGAUGUGACCACACAUAGACCUUUACUUGCCAAUAGGGCUUGAGUGACCUUAAACUUUUCAAGAACUUGUGGUUUAGGGAGAAUAAUUAGAGGAGGUGAAAGAAGUAUGAUUUUCAUGGGACAUCAUCUUCAUUUAGGAAAGCUUGUUUCAAGAGAUUUGGGAAGAUCAUAAAUGUCUAAACCAGACAUCUUUAGGGAGAUAUUCAAGAUAGUUGAUUUAAAUUCCCUAAUAUAACACCCAAUAUGAAAUAUUAAGGCUAGGACCCAACACAAUACUUUUAUAACUUGGAAGAGAGAUGUCGUAAUCCAAGCUACAAAAAAUUUGAAGGUAGGUGAAUGACGAUUCACUAAUUUCAACCAAAAGAAACGAAAUAGAUUAUUAUGUUUUUAAAUCUGCAUUUGAAACUCCUAGAUCUUUUGAGAUUCAUUGAACUGUUCAAUGGCAUGUUUCAAUCUCGAGUGUGCCCUUCAGGUUUUGUGACUGGGAUGCCGAGGAUCACAAAAGAAGGUGUGAAGUAACCAUGCAAAUUAACUUUUAAAAUUCUAAGGGCUGAACUUGGAAUUAAAGUAUUCAUAAGAAAAAACUUUUUAAAUUCCAAAAUUUGAGGGCAAGCUUUGAAACUAUUCAAAACUAAUUAAUUCCAUAACUUAUGUGUUUAAAGUAGUUUUCAUCCAAAAACUCUUCAAGUUCCAUAACUUGAGGAUAAGUUAUGGAAGUCUUUAAAUUAUUAAAGAAUCUAACUUUUCUUUAUUUUGUAAC
rnacentral:lncRNA from 1 species